rnacentral:rRNA from 1 species
UCGGAUUGUAGUCUGCAACCCGGCUACAUGAAGCUGGAAUCGCUAGUAAUCGCGGAUCAGAAUGCCGCGGUGAAUACGUUCCCGGGUCUUGUACACACCGCCCGUCACACCAUGGGAGUUGGAAAUGCCCGAAGCCAGUGACCCAACCGUAAGGAGGGAGCUGUCGAAGGUGGAGCCGAUGACUGGGGUGAAGUCGUAACAAGGUAUC